rnacentral:rRNA from 1 species
GAUGAACGCUGGCGGCGUGCCUAAUACAUGCAAGUCGAGCGAAUGGAUUAAGAGCUUGCUCUUAUGAAGUUAGCGGCGGACGGGUGAGUAACACGUGGGUAACCUGCCCAUAAGACUAGGAUAACUCCGGGAAACCGGGGCUAAUACCGGAUAACAUUUUGAACCGCAUGGUUCGAAAUUGAAAGGCGGCUUCGGCUGUCACUUAUGGAUGGACCCGCGUCGCAUUAGCUAGUUGGUGAGGUAACGGCUCACCAAGGCAACGAUGCGUAGCCGACCUGAGAGGGUGAUCGGCCACACUGGGACUGGGACACGGCCCAGACUCCUACGGGAGGCAGCAGUAGGGAAUCUUCCGCAAUGGACGAAAGUCUGACGGAGCAACGCCGCGUGAGUGAUGAAGGCUUUCGGGUCGUAAAACUCUGUUGUUAGGGAAGAACAAGUGCUAGUUGAAUAAGCUGACACCUUGACGGUACCUAACCAGAAAGCCACGGCUAACUACGUGCCAGCCGCCGCCGUAA